rnacentral:sRNA from 20 species
CACCGAGUCCGAGGUUCCGGUGCCCACCGGAAUCUGGUGCAAGAGGGA